rnacentral:rRNA from 1 species
CGGCACCGUUAUUUUAUUGUCCGUUUAUUAGAGCCCCAUGGCCCAUGGCCGGCGCGCCGGGAGCGCGAGCAGUGGCAGGCAGGCACCACCAUGCUCGGCGCCGUCCUCCGGAUGCGGCUCCGGGUGCUCCGGCGCCACCUCCGACUCCGCGGCCGCAGGCGGAGGUGCAGCUCUCGGUCCCGGAGAGGGGGCGGCGGCGCGGCGGGGGGCGAGGAGGAGGGGGCGCGCGAGCCGGUGCUGCUCGUGUCCGGGAUGGGCGGGUCGGUGCUGCACGCGCGGCGGCGGUCGGACCCCAAGUUCGACCUCCGGGUCUGGGUGCGCAUCCUCCUCGCCGACCUCGAGUUCAAGAAGUACCUCUGGUCGCUCUACAACGCCAAAACCGGCUAUGUGGAAUCGUUGGACGACGAUGUGGAGAUUGUGGUGCCGGACGACGAUCAUGGCCUGUUCGCCAUCGACGUUCUCGAUCCUUCCUGGUUUGUAGAGCUACUGCAUCUGACUAUGGUGUACCAUUUCCAUGAUAUGAUUGAUAUGCUCCUUGACUGUGGAUACGAGAAAGGAACAACACUAUUUGGAUAUGGUUAUGAUUUUCGUCAAAGCAACAGGAUAGACAAAGCAAUGGCUGGUUUGAGAGCAAAACUUGAGACGGCUUACAAGGCCUCUGGUGGGAAAAAAGUAAACAUAAUCUCCCAUUCUAUGGGAGGAUUGCUAGUACGCUGUUUCAUGUCUAUGAAUCAUGAUAUAUUUUCAAAGUAUGUCAAUAAAUGGAUUUGCAUUGCUUGUCCAUUUCAAGGUGCCCCAGGAUGCAUCAAUGAUUCUCUUCUAACUGGACUGCAGUUUGUUUAUGGUUUUGAAAGUUUCUUUUUCGUUUCUCGAUGGGCGAUGCACCAACUGUUGGUUGAGUGCCCAUCAAUCUACGAAAUGCUACCAAAUCCAAACUUUGAGUGGAAGGAAAAACCAAUCGUUCAGGUUUGGCGAAAGAAUCCUGAAAAGGAUGGAACAGUAGAGCUAGUUUUGUAUGAAGCAACUGAUUGUGUUUCUCUGUUUGAAGAAGCUUUACAAAAUAAUGAGCUCAAUUAUAAUGGGAAGACGAUUGCACUACCAUUCAAUAUGUCCAUCUACAAAUGGGCUACUGAGACUCGCCGUAUUCUUGAGAAUGCUCAACUACCAGAUACCGUGAGUUUUUAUAGUAUACAUGGGACAUCUUAUGAAACACCAUAUGAUGUUUGCUAUGGCUCUGAAAGCUCCCCAAUUGGAGAUCUCUCAGAAGUGUGCCACACAGUGCCUACAUACACAUACGUGGAUGGAGAUUGCACUGUUCCUGUCGAAUCAGCCACGGCUGAUGGGUUCCCAGCGAAAGAAAGGGUAGGCGUCAGGGCUGACCACCGAGGGCUGCUGUGUGAUGAGAAUGUGUUCAAGUUUCUCAAGAAAUGGCUCGGCGUAAGUGAGAACACACGGGGUAGGGUGUCGAAAUCGCAAAUCAUGGACAUGCCCCCAGAGAGGAUCCCUGAUCAGGCCAGUCUCUGAUAGGUAUGGCAUCGAUUUCUUCGAGGGAACGGUUAUUUUGGUCCUUUCCCUUAAGAGAAGGGCACGCAGAUGUACCGGUAAUUGUGUACAAAAAUUAUCUACCGUGUGGAACAUUGUGAAACACUUCAUGGGCAUAUAUCACAAUGUAGUACAUAUAUCAAUAUAUCAUAUGAGCCUGGAAACUUCUGUUAAAUAUUGUCACUGUAACGACGGCUUCGUCCACCGGCCAUUUCCUGUCGUCCCCUUGCCUCCUAUCGCCGGCUCCGGCAUCUACCGGGUUUCCUCUUGUUGUGUGCACUUCGUGCUUUGUGUUUUACUGUAUUUUUGUUUGUGUCCAUGGCAGUGGAGAAGCCGCCGUUUGAAAAUAAGUUUCUCCGGCUUCUUCCCCGUCAUCGCAGCAUCUUCUCCGAUGGCCAGGCUGAUGUGUGAACGGGGAAGCCUCUGCCCCAGGCAAGAUCUCACGCGGUGUUUAAAACAUAGAGAAGAUUCAGGCUUGUGGAUAAGCCUUUGUCAGUUUUUUUUUUUGCCUCGUCCCA